rnacentral:rRNA from 1 species
AUUGAACGCUGGCGGCAUGCUUUACACAUGCAAGUCGAACGGCAGCGCGGGCUUCGGCCUGGCGGCGAGUGGCGAACGGGUGAGUAAUACAUCGGAACGUGCCCAGCAGUGGGGGAUAGCUCGGCGAAAGCCGGAUUAAUACCGCAUACGACCUGAGGGUGAAAGCGGGGGAUCUUCGGACCUCGCGCUAUUGCGGCGGCCGAUGGCCGAUUAGCUAGUUGGUGGGGUAAAGGCCUACCAAGGCGACGAUCCGUAGCUGGUCUGAGAGGACGACCAGCCACACUGGAACUGAGACACGGCCCAGACUCCUACGGGAGGCAGCAGUGGGGAAUUUUGGACAAUGGGCGAAAGCCUGAUCCAGCAAUGCCGCGUGUGUGAUGAAGGCCUUCGGGUUGUAAAGCACUUUUGGCGGGAAAGAAAAGGACUGUGCCAAUACCACGGUUCGAUGACGGUACCCGCAGAAUAAGCACCGGCUAACUACGUG